CCAAAGUCAUGGUUAAGUGGGAAACGAUGUGGGAAGGCCCAGACAGCCAGGAUGUUGGCUUAGAAGCAGCCAUCAUUUAAAGAAAGCGUAAUAGCUCACUGGUCGAGUCGGCCUGCGCGGAAGAUGUAACGGGGCUAAACCAUGCACCGAAGCUGCGGCAGCGACGCUGAUGCGUUGUUGGGUAGGGGAGCGUUCUGUAAGCCUGUGAAGGUGGCCUGUGAGGGUUGCUGGAGGUAUCAGAAGUGCGAAUGCUGACAUAAGUAACGAUAAAGCGGGUGAAAAGCCCGCUCGCCGGAAGACCAAGGGUUCCUGUCCAACGUUAAUCGGGGCAGGGUGAGUCGACCCCUAAGGCGAGGCCGAAAGGCGUAGUCGAUGGGAAACGGGUUAAUAUUCCCGUACUUGGUGUUACUGCGAAGGGGGGACGGAGAAGGCUAUGUUGGCCGGGCGACGGUUGUCCCGGUUUAAGCGUGUAGGUGUGUGUUCCAGGUAAAUCCGGUUCACUUUAACACUGAGGCGUGAUGACGAGGCACUACGGUGCUGAAGCAACAAAUGCCCUGCUUCCAGGAAAAGCCUCUAAGCAUCAGGUAACAUCAAAUCGUACCCCAAACCGACACAGGUGGUCAGGUAGAGAAUACCAAGGCGCUUGAGAGAACUCGGGUGAAGGAACUAGGCAAAAUGGUGCCGUAACUUCGGGAGAAGGCACGCUGACAC
rnacentral:rRNA from 1 species